rnacentral:rRNA from 1 species
GACGAACGCUGGCGGCGUGCCUAAUGCAUGCAAGUCGCACGCAGGUGCCUUCGGGUGCCUGAGUGGCGCACGGCUGAGGAUCACGUGGGAACCUGCCCGACCGUGGGGGACAACUCGCCGAAAGGCGUGCUAAUCCCGCAUACGCUCCCUUCUCGGGAGGAAAGCCGCAAGGCGCGGACGGAGGGGCCCGCGGCCCAUCAGGUUGUUGGGGGG